rnacentral:rRNA from 1 species
ACGAAGGGUGCAAGCGUUAAUCGGAAUUACUGGGCGUAAAGCGUGCGUAGGUGGUUGUUCAAGUCAGUCGUGAAAGCCCUGGGCUCAACCUGGGAAUGGCGAUGGAAACUGGGCGACUAGAGUGCGGUAGAGGAUGGCGGAAUUCCCGGUGUAGCGGUGAAAUGCGUAGAGAUCCGGAGGAACACCAGAGGCGAAGGCGACACCCUGGGCCGUACCUGACGCUAAGACGCGACAGCACGGGGAGCGAACGG